GAAUCAGGACUGCACCAGCACCAGAGCUCCUGUUGUUUGUGUCAUCCCUAUUGACUCCCUCACACAGAGGAGGCCUGAGAGUGUGGAGGGACUGACAGCAUGAGCUCCUGCUUCGUGACCUGGAAGUUGGAGGUCAGGACCCAGGAAGUGUGCAGCUCUGUCUUUCUGAGGGUCAGAGCUCUCUCAGGGCAAGGACAUGGUGCCCAGGUCUCUGCUGACUGAGCACUGAGCUGCCAAGUGCUUGAUUUGAGGCCCAGGCAAUCAAACUCUUUCCAGUCUCCUUCCCAAUGAGCACUUUAGACCGGGCAUGAGAUGAGAUUCUAUCCAAUGACACAUGAGUUAUCCUGGAAGUCAACUGGAAUGGAUUUUCCCAGCUCUUGAAAAGAACUGUUUGAAAAACAGUCCCUUUUCCUGCCUUUUGAUGCUGCACCUUCACAUAUCAUCUGGAAAUGUUACAGUGGUCUUGGGAUCCAAAGGAGAACCAGUCCAAAAAAUGAACUUAAUACCCUCAGGAUGGAAAAGUAAGCAGAUGGAAACAACCCGGUCCUUUGAUGCCACUGAAUCAACCGGACCCCAAACUAGUAUGUUCCCACACUUAUUGGGAUGUGAGAGCAUGCAAUUUUAUUAUCAUUAAAGCUAUGUUUAGUUCGGCCUUCCAUUACCUGCAGUCGGAAGCAUCCCAACCAAUACACAAAAGGAGGAGAAGAGGGUGAAUAGCUCCAGCCAAGCAUGUUGAGUGGGAAGUUGCCUCAUGGUAAAUAAAUGGGUAGACACACA